rnacentral:rRNA from 1 species
ACUCCUACGGGAGGCAGCAGUGGGGAAUAUUGCACAAUGGGGGGAAAACCCUGAUGCAGCCAUGCCGCGUGUGUGAAGAAGGCCUUCGGGUUGUAAAAGCUACGUUUCAGUAGGGAGGAAGGUAGUGUAGUUAACACCUGCACUAUUUGACGUUACCUACAGAAGAAAGCACCGGCUAACUCCGUGCCAGCAGCCGCGGGUAAUACGGAGGGGUGCGAGCGUUAAGUCGGAAUUACUGGGCGUAAAGCGCAUGCAGGCGG